CAAGAUGCUUUGACGGCGAUGAGAAGUAGCAGCAGUGGGAAGCAGGCGGUAUGAGAGCAGGUUCUAAUGUGCGCCACACCGCAUCCGGCUGUCGGUGCGCGGGCAGUCUGCGUCUGAUAUGAGCUCGGACUGCGAAAGUUACUACAGCAAAGAAAACGUGUUCGUGGAGGGCUUCACGUGUCCGAAAGCAGACAGUGACACCACGGCACUUUUCUGCUGCGGGUUCAGUGACUUGAAGUACUGUUGUGAUGACCCCAACAGCUUUUUCCCCUACGAAUAUGGAUACAUGUGGUGGUUAAGUCUUGGAGCUCUUGUGGGUCUCUCUGUGGCAGCAGUGGUUCUUCUCGCCUUCAUCAUCACUCUCUGUGUCCUCUGCUAUCUGUUCAUCACCACUAAACCGAGAGGACUGGACAACGGGCUGCCGCUCAGAGCACCAGGCUCUACGUCGAGUCCACAAGGACCAGAACCCAGUCAUACCAGUGCACAUGCUGGCCCACAAGGCCUCAGGAAACACUUCAUGAGGGGCAAGCUGGACUGCGACAACCAGCCCCCGGACCCUGACCGCCUUUUCCAGCGUUGUUUCAUGGCUACUGUGACCUCUAUCAACGUGGAGGGUCCUGCAUAGAUUGGUGGACUACAGCAUUUGACUUAUUGACCAGCUUUUAGCUUGAUUCCUAUUUAUUUGCCACAGACCUGUCACCACUACACUGUAGUAUAAUAUAUAAUAUAUAUAUGAUAUAAUCUCAGUAAUAUGAUCUCAGUUGCUUUACAAUUAGCUUUUAUUAGCUUUGAUGUGGGGAGUCAUAUGCAUUGUUUGUUGCCACACGGCUUUCUGUAAUGUGUCUAUUGCACAGAAUCAAACCAACACAGAAGUCCUUUUGCUCAACAAACAGAAAAAAACUCUUAUUGCAAUUUCCCACUACCUGUUGCAUUGGUGCAACAAAAUAGCCAAAACAAAACAGCACAAUUAUGCACUGAUUGUGUGGAUAAUCAAACAUUUUUGAGGCGGUAAUUCAGCAGAAGAGAGUCUUGGUGACUGCAAAACAUGGUUUUAAUUUGCUUCUGAUAGACGAGAUGAGCUGAGUUAUAAUAGAUGUAUUAGAGCUCAUUCCCUGAUGUCCAGAGGUUGUUAGCACCUGUUGGUCAUGCAUUUUAUGGUUCUUGAAAACUGAAGAAAAUAUGCAAAGUUCAUCACUUGUUUUCACUUGUUGAAAUCCACUGAGAAAUAACCUUAAUACAGUGUCUGAAUGAUGAUCAGCCAUUGACAUCAUAGACUCAGAAAUGCUUUUGAUGAACCUGAGAGACAGGGUGAUUUUGGUAAAUAAAAAGUGAACUAUCUAGCUGUGCCUAACUCUCUGAGGGCACCUGCUGGCUCCAAACUCUGCUUUUACAAAGUGAUGGAGAAGUCAGUAAUGAAAGAAGUUGAAUAAUCAAUGUUUUGUGAUGAAAAUGUUUUUCAUUUAUUGAAAAAAGAAAAAAAUAUUCAACUUCUCCCAUGUCUCCCGGGGCCACUCCACUCAUUUUAUGCAUUGAGAUCAGUUUGCUCAUCAUAAAAUCUUAGAUAACGCUGGUGAUGUCAUCGGGAUUAUCUAAGGUUUGGCAUGAAGCUUCACAUUUUUAAACUAAAGCCUACAUUACAAACUGAUGGCAUGGAGUUUGCAUGAUGUGGUUGCCUGCAACACAGUUCAAGGAAUGGCAAUGUCUGUCUGUCGGUUGGUGGGUCGCUUUGGUUCAGACUGAAAUAUCUAUACAAAUAUAGCCGCUUUCACACAGAGAUCCCGCAAUAAACGUGGAAAGAAUGGCCGCCAAUAUGCCGCAUUCGCUCAUUCAUACUGAACAAAAUAUUUCGGCAUACCGUGUGAAAUAUCUUGAUGGAUUGCCAUGAAUUUCAUACACAUGUUCUUGUCUCCCUCAAGAUGAAUUGUAAUCACCUGAUGGCCCCUUAACUUUUCAUUUAAGGCUGUCAUCAGGUCAAAAUUUUAAUUUGUCAAAUACCUUUUAUUUGUUUAUGAUCAAAUGCUUGCUGAACAACUGAUAAGGAUGCCAGAUUUUCAACAGCACUGCCUCUGAUUAGCGAGUACUCGUUGCCUCCAUAAAUUGAGUUUAGGGUUAGGAUGGGGUUAGGGAUAGCCAAUCAGAGGCAGAGGUGGGGGCAGGACUUUACGCAGAUCUGGUAAACUAAUGCUGGUAAACAUGGCAAACAUUAUACCUUCUUGGCAUCUGCAUUUUAGAGCUGUUAUUGUGAGCGUGUUAGCUUGCUAUUAGCAUUUAGCUCAAAGCCCAGCUGUGCCUAAUGCCUCAUUUCCACUACACGGUACAGCUCGACUCGACUUUUUGGUUUGCCAUUGGUGAAAGUGGAUAGUAUACCUGGUAACUUGUACUUCUUUGGUCAAGGUUCCAAGUGAGCUGAGCUGAUACUAAAAGGUGGAGUUAAAACACUGCGACCACUGAUUGAACAGCGAAAAAUGUCUAAGCUUAGAUGGAGUACGGUCUAGACCUGCUCUUUAUGAAAAGUUCUAAGAGAUUACUCCUGUUAUAAAUUGGCGCUAUAUAAAUAAAAUUAAAUUGAAAGCUACCAAUUGAAAGCGGCUGCAAUUUUUUUUUUUUCACUAGACACUAGAUUUGAAAAAAUGGCUGGUCGACUGAUAAAGGGCAGAGGUUUCUUUGUUUUGGUUGCAGGUGUGUGUUUGCAUAAAGUUGAAGAUGAUGUCAUGACAAUUUCCCGCCUACGUUGAGGGGGUACAAUCUGCAGUGGAAAAAAACAUUGAGAAAAGUACCUGGUACCAAAAGUGAGUCAAGUCGGGCAAAGCUGUGUCAUGCAGUGGAAAUGAGGCUCCCUACCAGAGCCGCAAAAUGGCUGUUUGUUUGUGUUUUACCAUAAUACAUUUAUUUAUAGGCGUCUCUGGCAGUCGCAAAAACAGCCAAAAUACACACAGACACAGCCACAUUUGAGAACAGUUCAACUAGUAGUUUUAUGGUCCCCAUUGUUUUCUUUUAAUUGGAGCAAUACCAGCUACGUUCAGCAGCCAUUGACAGUAGGUGACUUAACACUUUAAAUACUGCUUUAAAGUGUAAAUCUAUCCUGAAUUGCUUUUUCUCUCAUUAAUUAACAUGCUCAAAGGUGUUUUAGUUAAUAGAAUGUUGAUUUUGACUUUCCCAAUGUUUUGGGACAAAUUGUUUCAAAAUUGGUGAAAGCCAAACGAAGAAACCCAUGUCACAAAUGCAUUCAACAAUUCUGUACUUUGUUACGUGUAAACGUAGAAGGGAUACAACCUGGGUGCCUCACAUACCAGCUGUGAAUCUGAUGCUCACGUCCUAGAACAAUUUGUGUUUUGCUUUGAUGGUGUGUGAACCAUAGCUUCGUGUUGUAGCUGUAAAUUGUUUGUACCAUGACUGCUCUGUUUAUUUUAAGAAGAUGAAUAUAUUGUCAGUCUGUGUUUAUUAAUAAUUUUAAUUUAAUAGUAAAAAUGAAUUUAAUUAAAAUUUAAUGAGAGUAUUUAGGACCUCCCUAUGUUUACCAUCAUUAUAUUUAUAGCAAGAUAUCUGGCAGGUCAAGU